rnacentral:rRNA from 1 species
UACGAAGGGGGCUAGCGUUGCUCGGAAUCACUGGGCGUAAAGGGUGCGUAGGCGGGUCUUUAAGUCAGGGGUGAAAUCCUGGAGCUCAACUCCAGAACUGCCUUUGAUACUGAGGAUCUUGAGUACGGGAGAGGUGAGUGGAACUGCGAGUGUAGAGGUGAAAUUCGUAGAUAUUCGCAAGAACACCAGUGGCGAAGGCGGCUCACUGGCCCGGUACUGACGCUGAG